rnacentral:misc_RNA from 1 species
GAUGAAGAACGCAGCGAAAUGCGAUAAGUAAUGUGAAUUGCAGAAUUCAGUGAAUCAUCGAAUCUUUGAACGCACAUUGCGCCCGCCAGUAUUCUGGCGGGCAUGCCUGUCUGAGCGUCAUUUCAACCCUCAAGCAACUUCUGCUUGGUGUUGGGGAUCGGCCGUCAAACGCCGCCCCCGAAAUCUAUUGGCGAUCUCGCUGUAGCUUCCUAUGCGUAGUAGUAACAUCUCGCAUCUGGAGAGCGGCGCGGUCAUGCCGUAAAACACCCAACUUCUCAGGUUGACCUCAGAUCAGGUAGGAAUACCGCUGAACUUAAGCAUAUCAAUAAGCGGAGGA